CCGAGUUCACUGAAACCUUUGUGAAACGUGAAUGAAAAGACUAACAUGGCGAAAGAACACCGUACAUUCAAAGAGAAGUGCAUUUAUAUUGAGCGCUUAAACGAAAACUCGUUUCUUAUCAAGAAAGGCUUUGUCCCAAACAUGAAGGUUGAAGGUAUUUUAGAUAUAUAAACAAGCUGCUCAAAAAACUAAUGUCUGAUGAGCUGAAGCACUGGGCUGGAACUCAAGAACUGGAGUGUCAUGGUAGCAACUUCCAGUCAUGGUCUGUUCUCGUUAUUCAGUGAUGACAAACCUCUUCUCAGUUGCCAUGAUUUGAAUAUUGUGUAUUGUGUCAACCCAGAAGAAUCAGUGGGCAGAGCCUUAUUCAAAUAAAUCAUGAAUAUCCAAACUGAGCAGGAAUUGUCCCCGGGCCCACCGACGUGCUGGCACACAUUGGCUAUGUUCCUCGAACAGUCAUUCAGUACGCUAAGUACCUUCUAAGAGGCAACAGUAACGUUGAACUUUUCAUGGUCAAGGCAAUUACUAAUAUUCUACAAGUACUAGAAGACGAAGCACUGUAGAUUCCUGAUAGGUGCAAACGUGUGCGCAUCAGGUCACUAGCGAUGAUAAAUACUUGCAAGGCUAGUGAUCACCAUCAACCUUUUCCUGGUCUUGUUUGAAACCACCAGGAUUCGAUUUGAAAGAAGUAUCCGUCGUUAGCCCUCUGGUUGAAGAAGCUGUUGUGCAGUUUACGUUGGAAAAUCCUAAUUAUUUGUUGGAUGUAGUGGAUACCAUAAAAGGCCUAUCUGCAGGGAGACCUGGCAACUUAGUUGGCAAAUAUUGGGAGAAGCUGAUAUUUAGCAAUCUCAAGGAAUGUGUGAAAAAUGAGUAUUCCUUCAAGGAAGAGGCAUGUGGUUCCACUGCUGCUAGAUCCUACUUAAAUUUGUGUGGACAUCAAAGCAAAACAGAUACGAGAAAAUCGAUAGAGCAGAUAACUAGAGAUAAAUAUAGUGCAAUGAUAGUCCAUUGUCCUAAUACCAGCGCCUUUGACUUUGUCAUCGUUCAUAAAUGCAACAAAAUUCAUGCCAUUCAGGUAACCGUUCAAACCGCUGCGAAGAAAUGUAACGACAGUGACUUUUUCAAGACUGAAAAUAUUCACUUUACGUAUUUACUAGCGCCUUAUGAGGUCGACGUCAACGCUAUUAAAUUGAAAUAAAAGUUAUAUGAUGCAUAUGUGGCGUAUGGUUUGCGAAUUGUAAAUGGAGCCAGUUUCCUAACUCAGAAAGAAUGGAGUACUUUUCAAUUUGGCGUCGAAGCCACUUGAAGAUCUGUCUUGGCGUGGAUUAAUAAAACGGGUAUUUCAUCUGCAACAUGUUUGUUGCCCAUGUGGAAAAAGGGACUUCCCUUCUCAUGAGGCUUGAAAGAAACCACCCCGAACAUACGGAAGAUUGCUGAAGUUUACCCCCUCUUAUUUUGAAAACGAGCGCGGUGACCCCCAUUUUUAUUUCAUUUAUUUCUGAACUUCACUUGUAUCGAUCUUUGUUUAUGCAAAGUUUCAAAACUUUUCUAUAAGUCCCGAACUACCUUAAAAUAUAUGCAUUAAUAUAUAUACUAAUUAGACUAUUAUAUAUUAUUUACGUGCAUAUAAUGAGACGAGAUUAUACAAACAUUGACAUGUGUCAAGAACUACAAAAGUAGUUCAAAUUUUCUACCGCCAUAGCGAACAAAACAAAACUAGACCCUGUGAGCAGGGUAACUGGGAUACCUGGAUGGUACUGGAUCCUUGGAAUCAAGUGUAGUGAUACUACGGGUGUCGGACUAGUA